rnacentral:rRNA from 1 species
CCUACGGGAGGCAGCAGUGAGGAAUAUUGGUCAAUGGCCGAGAGGCUGAACCAGCCAAGUCGCGUGAGGGAAGAAUGUCCUAUGGAUUGUAAACCUCUUUUGUCAGGGAGCAAAGUCACCCACGUGUGGGUGAUGGAGAGUACCUGAAGAAAAAGCAUCGGCUAACUCCGUGCCAGCAGCCGCGGUAAUACGGAGGAUGCGAGCGUUAUCCGGAUUUAUUGGGUUUAAAGGGUGCGUAGGCGGGUUAUUAAGUCAGCGGUAAAAUCGUGGAGCUCAACUCCAUCCAGCCGUUGAAACUGAUGAUCGUGAGUGGGCGAGAGGGAUGCGGAAUGCGUGGUGUAGCGGUGAAAUGCAUAGAUAUCGCGCAGAACUCCGAUUGCGAAGGCAGCAUACCGGCGCCCGACUGACGCUGAAGCACGAAAGCGUGGGUAUCGAACAGGAUUAGAUACCCCAGUAGUC